AGGUUGAAACUUUCCUUGGCAAUGGUGGACUGGUGCUUGGUGCCCUGGUGGUAUCUGAAAGGUUGAACUAAGCUUGCACGUACUAGUCAGAGAACAAUCCAGAAAAUGGAAUCAUUUGUACAAAAAAACAGCCAUACAAGUCACUAUUUUUGCUUAAAAAGUUGAGAUGCAUCCCAUCACAAAUUGAAGAGUGAUGGUAACAGCAGCAGAGCUGUUGCAGCGUUUGCUGGUGAUCUCUCCUCUUCUGAUAAUUAUUAAAGUCCACUGGCUUUCGACAAUGCCAUCGUCAAGCUGCCUAAGCUUCCUCUUGCCAGGGUCCAACCCAAGUGACAUUCAUCGGGCUGGUGGUUCACCAUGGGGUGUUGCAGUUGUUUUGGCCAUUAUUUUUGUUCUGAUCUCAUAUCAGCCUUCCUUGCAAAGCAUUAUAUCAUAGGGAUGGUUCGCGACAAGGUCAGUACUCAGUAUAUAUGAACGGAGAUAUUCAGUGCAAGAGUCUUUUAUGCUGAAGGAAAAUGAGGUUAGCUGAUGAUUUUAGAACUCAACAUUUCAACAUUGUUCUGCUCCAUUUGGUGAAUUUGUUGGUGAGACAUUACUGUAAUGCUCUUCAAAUUUCGCUUUGAGGGAAUUUAGUUUCACUAUUAUAAAGUUGAAGUGCUGUGUUUUGGUACAAAGGCCAAUUGUGUAAGCAUGCACCAGUGAACUUCAGUGUCUUGAUAUUAUGUGCUUUGUAAUUUGUAUCAUGUACUGGUUCUAAUAAUACUAGAAUAGUAAAUGUUAGUCACUCA